GCUCGCUCUCGCAGCACACACUAAAUUUGGAAUGAUACAGAGAUUAGCAAGGCUCCUGUGCAAGGAUGACACGAAAAUUCAUACAGCAUUUCAUAUUUUU
rnacentral:snRNA from 1 species